UCGAGAGAUAGAGUCGUCUUUUGGAGGAGUUUUUGAUGGUGCAACCCAGACGGAGCUUUGUUGCUUGCGAUUUGCGAAUUUGGAUUUUGAUCAAGGAAUAGAUUCGGCAAAGAAGACCUCAUUUGGUAAGUGUUCUUGCUGUCUAGACUUUUGUUGAAUUUAGCAUGAGAAUUGUCAGAGAAAUCAUGCUCAAGUUUAAAUCUUUAGAAAUUUUUUGAUAAGGUUUCUUUUUCUGAGAACUCUAGAGGAUUAAUUUCUUUGAAGUUGUAAGUUUUGAACUUUUUAGUACAAUUUUAAAGCCAUGGCCACAGAGUAGAGUAGAAAACUGAAAUGAGCUGGUCUGCUGGUGUGAGAUUAUAUGCUGUUGAGGAACUCUUCUUAUGCUUCAAAGAUGGUAUAUGAAACAGGGUUAUUGCUCUAUGGGUUUGACGAUCUCACAAAUCAAUCUUUACCUUUGAAGUAUUUUAAUUAAAUUAAGUCUGGAUUUUCUAGAGUUAUCUGUAUGGGAUUUUGUAUCUAUUCAGAAAAGAAUCAUAAGCACUUACUAAUCCAAUUCAUAGAAGCUUUGAAGCUUACUGCACCUUUGUUUUGUUAAGUUUCCAUUUCUUUGAAAAUACAUUGACUACAAAUGAAUCUGUAACUUGAUGACUCCAUCUGUGUUUGUUUGUCUAAAUUCUGUGCUGCAAUGUAUAGAUCUUCACAACCGCGACCAUGUGCUUAAGAAGUGCAUACUGAUACUCAUUCUUGAUUUGAUUUUCUGAGUUCUGCUAAUUUUUGGCAACUGAUUUAUGUAGAAGAAUUGAAAUAGAGAAAGACCUGCAGCGUAUGAAUUUGGUGAUUAUUCAACAUUUGGAGGUCCAACAGAUCCAUGUUUUAUUACUGAUUUACAAAUCAAUUUGCUGUCUUUGAAUUCUAUUUGACAGUUAAUCUUAAUUCAUAACCAAUAGAGAAAUUGGACUUAUUACAAAUUUAAACGGUUUGUUUUUGUAUCUGGGACUAAUUAAGCUUAUGCUUUAUCUACUGUUU
rnacentral:lncRNA from 1 species